UACGUAGGCAGCAAGCGUUGUUCGGAAUUACUGGGCGUAAAGAGUGUGUAGGCGGUGCUCUAAGUUCGGUGUGAAAUCUCCUGGCUCAACUGGGAGGGUGCGCCGGAAACUGGGGUGCUGGAGCGCGGGAGAGGAAAGCGGAAUUCCUGGUGUAGCGGUGAAAUGCGUAGAUAUCGGGAGGAACACCGGCGGUGUAGACGGCUUUCUGGACCGUAGCUGACGCUGAGACACGAAAGCGUGGGUAGCAAACAGG
rnacentral:rRNA from 1 species